GACGAACCGUGCGAACGUUGUUCGGAAUCACUGGGCUUAAAGGGCGCGUAGGCGGGCUGCGGCGUCCGGGGUGAAAUCCUCCCGCCCAACGGGAGAACGGCCUCGGAUACGGGCGGCCUGGAGGGGGGUAGGGGCGGGCGGAACUGUGGGUGGAGCGGUGAAAUGCGUUGAGAUCCACAGGAACUCCGGUGGCGAAGGCGGCAUCCUGGACCGACAUUGACGCCGAGGAGCGAAAGCUAGGGGAGCAAACGGG
rnacentral:rRNA from 1 species